rnacentral:misc_RNA from 1 species
CGCACAUUGCGCCCGCCAGUAUUCUGACGGGCAUGCCUGUUUGAGUGUCAUUAAAUUAUCAACCUUUGCUCCUUGCGAGCUAAGGCUUGGAUGUGAGGGCUUGCUGGCUUCCUUCAGUGGAUGGUCUGCUCCCUUUAAAUGCAUUAGUAGGAUCCUUUGUGGACGGUAUUGAUAGUUUAUCUAUGCCGUUUGACUUUGAAGGAAUCUGCUUAUAACCGUCUUCGGACAAUCUUGACAAUUUGACCUCAAAUCAGGUAGGACUACCCGCUGAACUUAA